UACGAAGGUCCCAAGCGUUAUCCGGAAUUAUUGGGCGUAAAGAGCUCGUAGGCGGCUUGUCACGUCGGGUGUGAAAGCCCGGGGCUUAACCCCGGGUCUGCAUUCGAUACGGGCUAGCUAGAGUGUGGUAGGGGAGAUCGGAAUUCCUGGUGUAGCGGUGAAAUGCGCAGAUAUCAGGAGAAACACCGGUGGCGAAGGCGGAUCUCUGGGCCAUUACUGACGCUGAGGAGCGAAAGCGUGGGGAGCGAACAGG
rnacentral:rRNA from 1 species